rnacentral:rRNA from 1 species
AGAGAUGCAUUGGGUAUAAGUGUGCGCAGGCGGUUUUGUAAGACAGAGGUGAAAUCCCCGGGCUCAACCUGGGAACUGCCUUUGUGACUGCAAGGCUGGAGUGCGGCAGAGGGGGAUGGAAUUCCGCGUGUAGCAGUGAAAUGCGUAGAUAUGCGGAGGAACACCGAUGGCGAAGGCAAUCCCCUGGGCCUGCACUGACGCUCAUGCACGAAAGCGUGGGGAGCAAACA